CAAGUGAAGAAGCGCAUACGGUGGAUGCCUUGGCAGUCAGAGGCGAUGAAAGACGUGGUAGCCUGCGAAAAGCUUCGGGGAGUCGGCAAACAGACUUUGAUCCGGAGAUCUCUGAAUGGGGGAACCCACCUAGGAUAACCUAGGUAUCUUGUACUGAAUCCAUAGGUGCAAGAGGCGAACCAGGGGAACUGAAACAUCUAAGUACCCUGAGGAAAAGAAAUCAACCGAGAUUCCCUUAGUAGUGGCGAGCGAACGGGGAUUAGCCCUUAAGCUUCAUUGAUUUUAGCGGAACGCUCUGGAAAGUGCGGCCAUAGUGGGUGAUAGCCCCGUACGCGAAAGGAUCUUUGAAGUGAAAUCGAGUAGGACGGAGCACGAGAAACUUUGUCUGAACAUGGGGGGACCAUCCUCCAAGGCUAAAUACUACUGACUGACCGAUAGUGAACCAGUACCGUGAGGGAAAGGCGAAAAGAACCCCGGAGAGGGGAGUGAAAUAGAACCUGAAACCGUAUGCGUACAAGCAGUGGGAGCCUACUUGUUAGGUGACUGCGUACCUUUGUAUAAUGGGUCAGCGACUUAUAUUCAGUGGCAAGCUUAACCGUAUAGGGUAGGCGUAGCGAAAGCGAGUCUUAAUAGGGCGUUUAGUCGCUGGGUAUAGACCCGAAACCGGGCGAUCUAUCCAUGAGCAGGUUGAAGGUUAGGUAACACUGACUGGAGGACCGAACCCACUCCCGUUGAAAAGGUAGGGGAUGACUUGUGGAUCGGAGUGAAAGGCUAAUCAAGCUCGGAGAUAGCUGGUUCUCCUCGAAAGCUAUUUAGGUAGCGCCUCAUGUAUCACUCUGGGGGGUAGAGCACUGUUUCGGCUAGGGGGUCAUCCCGACUUACCAAACCGAUGCAAACUCCGAAUACCCAGAAGUGCCGAGCAUGGGAGACACACGGCGGGUGCUAACGUCCGUCGUGAAAAGGGAAACAACCCAGACCGCCAGCUAAGGUCCCAAAGUUGUGGUUAAGUGGUAAACGAUGUGGGAAGGCUUAGACAGCUAGGAGGUUGGCUUAGAAGCAGCCACCCUUUAAAGAAAGCGUAAUAGCUCACUAGUCGAGUCGGCCUGCGCGGAAGAUGUAACGGGGCUCAAACCACACACCGAAGCUGCGGGUGUCACGUAAGUGACGCGGUAGAGGAGCGUUCUGUAAGCCUGUGAAGGUGAGUUGAGAAGCUUGCUGGAGGUAUCAGAAGUGCGAAUGCUGACAUGAGUAACGACAAUGGGUGUGAAAAACACCCACGCCGAAAGACCAAGGGUUCCUGCGCAACGUUAAUCGACGCAGGGUUAGUCGGUUCCUAAGGCGAGGCUGAAAAGCGUAGUCGAUGGGAAACAGGUUAAUAUUCCUGUACUUCUGGUUACUGCGAUGGAGGGACGGAGAAGGCUAGGCCAGCUUGGCGUUGGUUGUCCAAGUUUAAGGUGGUAGGCUGAAAUCUUAGGUAAAUCCGGGGUUUCAAGGCCGAGAGCUGAUGACGAGUCGUCUUUUAGAUGACGAAGUGGUUGAUGCCAUGCUUCCAAGAAAAGCUUCUAAGCUUCAGGUAACCAGGAACCGUACCCCAAACCGACACAGGUGGUCGGGUAGAGAAUACCAAGGCGCUUGAGAGAACUCGGGUGAAGGAACUAGGCAAAAUGGCACCGUAACUUCGGGAGAAGGUGCGCCGGCUAGGGUGAAGGAUUUACUCCGUAAGCUCUGGCUGGUCGAAGAUACCAGGCCGCUGCGACUGUUUAUUAAAAACACAGCACUCUGCAAACACGAAAGUGGACGUAUAGGGUGUGACGCCUGCCCGGUGCCGGAAGGUUAAUUGAUGGGGUUAGCGCAAGCGAAGCUCUUGAUCGAAGCCCCGGUAAACGGCGGCCGUAACUAUAACGGUCCUAAGGUAGCGAAAUUCCUUGUCGGGUAAGUUCCGACCUGCACGAAUGGCGUAACGAUGGCGGCGCUGUCUCCACCCGAGACUCAGUGAAAUUGAAAUCGCUGUGAAGAUGCAGUGUAUCCGCGGCUAGACGGAAAGACCCCGUGAACCUUUACUGUAGCUUUGCACUGGACUUUGAGCCUGCUUGUGUAGGAUAGGUGGGAGGCUUUGAAGCGUGGACGCCAGUUCGCGUGGAGCCAUCCUUGAAAUACCACCCUGGCAUGCUUGAGGUUCUAACUCUGGUCCGUGAUCCGGAUCGAGGACAGUGUAUGGUGGGCAGUUUGACUGGGGCGGUCUCCUCCUAAAGAGUAACGGAGGAGUACGAAGGUGCGCUCAGACCGGUCGGAAAUCGGUCGUAGAGUAUAAAGGCAAAAGCGCGCUUGACUGCGAGACAGACACGUCGAGCAGGUACGAAAGUAGGUCUUAGUGAUCCGGUGGUUCUGUAUGGAAGGGCCAUCGCUCAACGGAUAAAAGGUACUCCGGGGAUAACAGGCUGAUACCGCCCAAGAGUUCAUAUCGACGGCGGUGUUUGGCACCUCGAUGUCGGCUCAUCACAUCCUGGGGCUGAAGCCGGUCCCAAGGGUAUGGCUGUUCGCCAUUUAAAGUGGUACGCGAGCUGGGUUUAGAACGUCGUGAGACAGUUCGGUCCCUAUCUGCCGUGGACGUUUGAGAUUUGAGAGGGGCUGCUCCUAGUACGAGAGGACCGGAGUGGACGAACCUCUGGUGUUCCGGUUGUCACGCCAGUGGCAUUGCCGGGUAGCUAUGUUCGGAAAAGAUAACCGCUGAAAGCAUCUAAGCGGGAAACUUGCCUCAAGAUGAGAUCUCACUGGGAACUUGAUUCCCCUGAAGGGCCGUCGAAGACUACGACGUUGAUAGGCUGGGUGUGUAAGCGUUGUGAGGCGUUGAGCUAACCAGUACUAAUUGCCCGUGAGGCUUGACCA
rnacentral:rRNA from 1 species